rnacentral:rRNA from 1 species
UACGGAGGAUCCAAGCGUUAUCCGGAAUCAUUGGGUUUAAAGGGUCCGUAGGCGGUUUUGUAAGUCAGUGGUGAAAGCCCAUCGCUCAACGGUGGAACGGCCAUUGAUACUGCAAGACUUGAAUUAUUGGGAAGCAACUAGAAUAUGUAGUGUAGCGGUGAAAUGCUUAGAUAUUACAUGGAAUACCAAUUGCGAAGGCAGGUUGCUACCAAUACAUUGACGCUGAUGGA